AACCGGUUAACGUUAGUAAAAGUUUUCGGAUGACUUGAGGGUAGGGGUAGAAAGGCUAAUCAAACUUGGAGAUAGCUCGUACUACCCCGAAAUGCAUUUUAGGUGCAGCGUGUAUAAAGUUUAUAACAGGUAGAGCGACUGAUUGGAUGCGAGGGCUUCACCGCCUAUCAAGUCCUGAUAAACUCCGAAUGGUUAUAAAUGAUUAUAUGCAGUGAGGGCGCGGGUGCUAAGGUCCGUGUCCGAGAGGAGAAUAAUCCAGACCAUCAGCUAAGGUCCCCAAAUAUACAUUAAGUUGCAUUAACGAAGUCGAACUGCCCAGACAGCUAGGAUGUUGGCUUGGAAGCAGCCAUUCAUUUAAAGAGUGCGUAACAGCUCACUAGUCGAGCGGUUUGGCGUGGAUAAUAAUCGGGCA
rnacentral:rRNA from 1 species